rnacentral:rRNA from 1 species
AGGACGAACGCUGGCGGCGCGCUUAACACAUGCAAGUCGAGCGAGAACCUUUCCUUCGGGAUUGGGGACAGCGGCGAACGGGUGAGUAACACGUGGGUAAUCUGCCCUCGACAUCGGGAUAGCCCGGGGAAACCCGGAUUAAUACCGGAUAGCCUUACCGGUUUUCGGGCUGGUAAGAAAAAGUAGCUUUGGCCUCCGGUCGAGGAGGAGCCCGCGGCGGAUUAGCUUGUUGGCGGGGUAAAAGCCCACCAAGGCGACGAUCCGUAGCUGGUCUGAGGGGACGAUCAGCCACACUGGGACUGAGACACGGCCCAGACUCCUACGGGAGGCAGCAGUGGGGAAUCUUGCGCAAUGGGCGAAAGCCUGACGCAGCGACGCCGCGUGCGGGAAGAAGGCCUUCGGGUUGUAAACCGCUUUCGAGGGGGGACGAAGCCACUCGGGUUAAUAGCCCAGAGGGUGACGGUACCUUCAGAAGAAGCCCCGGCUAACUACGUGCCAGCAGCCGC